CAAAUCCUAAAAGGUCUACCAUUUCC
rnacentral:piRNA from 1 species